ACGAACGCUGGCGGCGUGCUUAACACAUGCAAGUCGAACGAUGAACCAGGGCUUGCCCUGGGGAUUAGUGGCGAACGGGUGAGUAACACGUGGGCAACCUGCCCCUGACUCUGGGAUAACUCCGGGAAACCGGGGCUAAUACCGGAUACGAGCUUCGACGACAUCGUCGAGGCUGGAAAGUUUUUCGGUCAGGGAUGGGCCCGCGGCCUAUCAGCUAGUUGGUGGGGUAACGGCCCACCAAGGCGACGACGGGUAGCCGGCCUGAGAGGGCGACCGGCCACACUGGGACUGAGACACGGCCCAGACUCCUACGGGAGGCAGCAGUGGGGAAUAUUGCGCAAUGGGCGAAAGCCUGACGCAGCGACGCCGCGUGAGGGACGACGGCCUUCGGGUUGUAAACCUCUUUCAGCAGGGACGAAGCGAAAGUGACGGUACCUGCAGAAGAAGCACCGGCCAACUACGU
rnacentral:rRNA from 1 species